rnacentral:rRNA from 1 species
GACGAACGCUGGCGGCGUGCUUAACACAUGCAAGUCGAACGAAGUGGCGAACGGGUGAGUAACGCGUAAUCAACCUGCCCUUCAGAGGGGGACAACAGUUGGAAACGACUGCUAAUACCGCAUACUGAAGGAGGGGAUUGCGUCUGAUUAGGUAGUUGGAGGGGUAACGGCCCAACAAGGCGAUGAUCAGUAGCCGGGGCGAGAUGUGGAACGGACACAACUGGAGUUGGAACCGACCCAGACUCCUUCGGUAGGAAGCAGUGGGGAAUCUUUCGGCAGGUACGCAAGUCUGACUGUGCAACGCCGCGUGAGUGAUGACGGCCUUCGGGUUGUAAAGCUCUGGUAAUCGGGACGCGGUACCGGAAUAAAAAGCCACGGCUAACUACGUGCCAGCAGCCGCGGUAAUAC